CCUACGGGAGGCAGCAGUGGGGAAUAUUGGACAAUGGGGGGAACCCUGAUCCAGCCAUGCCGCGUGUGUGAAGAAGGCCCUCGGGUUGUAAAGCACUUUCAGUGAGGAAGAACGCCUGGUGGUUAAUACCCAUCAGGAAAGACAUCACUCACAGAAGAAGCACCGGCUAACUCCGUGUCAGCAGCCGCGGUAAUACGGAGGGUGCGAGCGUUAAUCGGAAUUACUGGGCGUAAAGCGCGCGUAGGUGGCUUGAUAAGCCGGUUGUGAAAGCCCCGGGCUCAACCUGGGAACGGCAUCCGGAACUGUCAAGCUAGAGUGCAGGAGAGGAAGGUAGAAUUCCCGGUGUAGCGGUGAAAUGCGUAGAGAUCGGGAGGAAUACCAGUGGCGAAGGCGGCCUUCUGGACUGACACUGACACUGAGGUGCGAAAGCGUGGGUAGCAAACAGGAUUAGAUACCCCAGUAGUC
rnacentral:rRNA from 1 species